GAUGAAGAACAUUUAAACAGUGAAAAGCUGCAGCUCUCCCUCCACUGGACAGAGAAACAAUGAGAGCAGAGAGACGGAGACAGAGCAGUGAAUGGGUUCUCUCCUCUUGAUGCGCCGCUUGAAACAGUCCCAGGUAAACUGUUGAUAUCCUACUUUCCCACAUCUCUAAAUAGCAGCUGAAUUUUACCAUUUCAUAUUUAAAUAUUCAAAGCAGAGCAGGAACAUGUUUCACAAAGAAACCCUUCUCAAACUGUAAAGAGGAAGAAAAACUAAUAAUUACAUGCAACAAAAUCUAGUUGGGAAAAUAACCAGGAAGAAGUUGAUUCAGUGUCACAUGUUGAGCUGUGACAUCACUGCUUGUAUUUUAUCCCUUACAGUUUCUGCUUACCUUUCUAAUAAUGUAUUACAGAUAGCAAAAGCUGAUUUUCUCUUACAGCUUAAAAUUUAUUGUCUACAGUUUCGAACAAGAAAUCCAGAUAAAGCAGGAAUAACCAGUUCUGUUUCACAUUGAAUUUAGACGAAUUGCUCAUAUCUGUCAAUUGUUUUGUGUUAGUUUCUCCUCACUGUUGGAUUAACGCAAUUAUCAUGUUUCUUUAAUGUAAUUCUGAAGUCUUUGACUCCUCCACUAACAUCUCCAAAGAACAGCAGGAACCAGCUUCUCAAAGAUGAAUGUAUGGAUCUAUGAUACAUCUUUGCUAGAUAAGCUUUAAUUCAUUUAAAGAGCACUUAUGGAAUAGUUGUUUAUGUGCUGUGAGUGGAAAAGCGUGCAGAGAAUAAAAUAUGCAUACAGGAAGAAAAAUUAUAAGGGGGAAAUUUUACUUCCCUAAUCCAAACCAGGAAGUAGUUUUUUCCCCUUGUAGUACCUGCUGGAAGACCAGAGGACAGGAUGUCCUAUCCGCUCCUGUAAAGCCUGUCAGAAAACAGACAUGUGGCAGCCUAAUAUCACUUCUGUUUAAUUGAUUUCGCAUUAAAACAGACAAGGGUGCAAACCAAACUUGUCAUUUUAUUUUAUAACGUCUAUUGAGGAAAAACACGCUGGCGACGGAUAGCAGCAGCCAAUCAAAGGACUGUCAGCCCUCGGUGUAAUCGUGGAUUUGCAGCGAACAUUUUUUACAAGAUAAGAAGAUUGAAGUUCAGACACUUUAUAAGUCUGAGUAGAAAGAUCCAAUCAAAUAUUGCAUUAUGGAGGAGGUAUGUGCGUAAUCGUUAGUAACCACUGUCAUGUACAAAAAAUAUAAAAAAAUAAAUAAAUACUGGUUAGCAUCUCGCCUCAAGGUAUCAUCCCAGAGCCUCCAGUUAGCGUCCCAGACUCAGCCGUUGCGCUGAGGCCUUCGGGUUCUGGGGGUCAUGAUGGACCCCAGGGGGCCCAGAACAGGCAGAGACUCAGGUCAGACCACCUCCAUGGGCUGUGUGUCAUCCGCCGUCACUGACCGAAGGUUCUCCAGGUUGUCCGCCUUCUCUGUCGACGUCGGCUGGACUUUUCACUUCUGCUCUGCUCUUUUCCGUGUCGGGGGUUCCGCCCUCCACAUCAUCACCCUCCGGACCUUUUAACAGGAGGCCGUCGCCAUUUUGGUAGGUUUCCGUACUUUGUUGGGCUUACCCCACUCUGGCCACAUGGUGGUGCACUGGACUGAUUUUGUUUUCGUUUUGAACUUUUUGCCUUCCUUCCAGCGCCCCUCUCUUCACCCCUGGUGUUUUGGCCUCUGGUGGUCGCCUCUGGUUGAUGGGGGUGAGGUGGGGAGGGCUGUCAUGAUCUUAGUUUUGUCGCUGCUCAUUUUGGUUAAUUUGCUCCACCUUUGCGUUCCCUGUUACCCCUUAAUGCUCCAGCUGUUUUCUGUGUCUUGAUUACUUCCCUGUGUAUAUUUAAGUUCACCUGUUCCUCCUUUGCAUCAUCAGAUUCUGUUGUGUUUCCCCAAGUUGACUCUACUUUUAUAUUUUCCCCACACUGUUGUGCUUUUUGGUUCCCUGACCAUUAGAGAUAUGUUUUGGACUCACCUGGUCUUCAUCACUGUUCCAUGGCUUUCCCUUACACAACUAGAGAGUUUUUAUGUGACUUAAAGGAAGAGUUGUUUGUCUACUUGUAUAAUAGUGACUUGAUAGCGGUGGAUUCAAUCGGUGAACCUAUGCAUAGUGCAGGCUAAUUGUAAGCUAAUUACAUGGGCAGCAGAGCAAGAUGAUGAAUCGGCCAAAGUAUCCAGUAUCGACCACUUUCAUGGAUGGACGACGGAUCAAAAACAGAAGAAGAGGCAAACAAUUUGUCAUCCUGGCUAGAGUUUAUGAUGAGGCCACUCUGAAGGUCACUACAAGAUUCAUGCCCAUAUGCAAUGUAAGAAAAUGCAAAAAGUCUGUGUGAAAACCUGAGUCAAGCUGUCGUGUAAAAUCAAGCACUCUGGCCCAGCACACAAACACACUCCUUGACCAAGUGCUAAAGAAUGCAAAUUUGAAUGCCAGAAUGUCACAUGAGAAGUUAAAAGAAAAUGUAAAAGUUUCACUUUGAAGACAAGCGAUAUCAGUUGAGAAUGUGUAAAAAAUAAACAUAAUUUAAUUCCCUUUUGUCUUUUAAUUUGGACUUAUUAGAAAUGACAUAGACUCGUUGCAUGUUGUUUAUAUGGGCACGACGUUUUGAGUGUUACGUUUUUUUAAAUAAACUUUUAAAAAGUC